CGAUCCCAUCCCGAACUCGGAGGUGAAACGCUUCUGCGGCCAAGAUACUUGGAGGGUUGCCUCCUGGGACAAUAGCUCAGUGCCAGGU
rnacentral:rRNA from 2 species